rnacentral:rRNA from 1 species
ACAGGUUGAGAUUCCUGUACUACAGUAUGACAGAACUGUGGGGACGCAGAAGGAGAGCACUACCUGGAAUGGAAUCCAGGGGCAAGCACAGGAGGGGUACGGCUGGAAAAACCGCCGUGCAACCCAAAGGUGUGACGCAUACCGAACUAAAGUAGGGAAAUGUGUGAGCCGGCUGCCGAGAAAAGCCGCUAUUGUUUGUACUGUACCCGUACCGUAAACCGACACAGGUGGAUGAGGAGAGAAUCCUAAGGCCGACGGAAGAAGCAUUGCUAAGGAACUCGGCAAAACGACCCUGUAACUUCGGGAGAAAGGGUGCCUCGAAAGAGGCCGCAGAGAAUAGGCCCAAGCAACUGUUUAGCAAAAACACAGGUCUAUGCAAAACCGCAAGGUGAAGUAUAUGGGCUGACGCCUGCCCGGUGCUGGAAGGUUAAGGGGAGAUGUCAGGAGACGAAGCAUCGAACUUAAGCCCCAGUAAACGGCGGCCGUAACUAUAACGGUCCUAAGGUAGCGAAAUUCCUUGUCGGGUAAGUUCCGACCCGCACGAAAGGCGUAAUGAUUUGGGCGCUGUCUCGGCAAUGCAUCCGGUGAAAUUGAAGUGCCAGUGAAGAUGCUGGCUACCCGCGCCAGGACGGAAAGACCCCAUGGAGCUUUACUCCAGCUUGAUACUGGGAUUCGGUAUUGUAUGUACAGGAUAGGUGGGAGGCUUAGAAAUGGUGACGCCAGUCGCCAUGGAGCCGCUGUUGGGAUACCACCCUUGCAGUACUGGAUUUCUAACCAGCAGCCGUGAUCCGGCUGGGGGACAAUGUCAGGUGGGGAGUUUGACUGGGGCGGUCGCCUCCGAAAGGGUAUCGGAGGCGCUCAAAGGUUCCCUCAGAAUGGUCGGAAACCAUUCGAAGAGUGCAAAGGCAGAAGGGAGCUUGACUGCGACACCGACGGGUGGGGCAGGUACGAAAGUAGGACUUAGUGAUCCGGUGGUAUUAAGUGGGAAUGCCAUCGCUCAACGGAUAAAAGCUACCCUGGGAUAACAGGCUUAUCACUCCCAAGAGUUCACAUCGACGGAGUGGUUUGGCACCUCGAUGUCGGCUCAUCGCAUCCUGGGGCUGUAGUAGGUCCCAAGGGUUGGGCUGUUCGCCCAUUAAAGCGGUACGCGAGCUGGGUUCAGAACGUCGUGAGACAGUUCGGUCCCUAUCCGGCGUGGGCGUAGGAUAUUUGAGAGGAGCUGACCUUAGUACGAGAGGACCGGGUUGGACUGACCUCUGGUGCACCGGUUGUCAUACCAAUGGCACAGCCGGGUAGCCAAGUCGGGAAGGGAUAAACGCUGAAGGCAUCUAAGCGUGAAGCCCCCCUCAAGAUGAGAUAUCCCCCGCAUAAGCGGUAAGACCCCUUGAAGACGACGAGGUAGAUAGGGCAGAGGUGGAAGUGCAGUAAUGUAUGGAGCUGACUGCUGCUAAUAGGUCGAAGGCCUA